CGCGGCCUAUCAGCUUGUUGGUAGGGUAACGGCCUACCAAGGCGACGACGGGUAGCUGGUCUGAGAGGAUGGUCAGCCGGACUGGGACUGAGACACGGCCCAGACUCCUACGGGGGGCAGCAAUUAGGAAUCUUGCGCAAUGGGCGAAAGCCUGACGCAGCGACGUCGCGUGACCGAUGAAGUCCUUCGGGAUGUAAAGGUCUUUUGCAGGGGAAGAAGGAUGUGACGGUACCCUGCGAAUAAGCCCCGGCUAACUACGUGCCAGCAGCCGCGGUAACACGUAGGGGGCGAGCGUUGUCCGAAUUCACUGGGCGUAAAGCGCGCGUAGGCGGGCUGUUAAGUCGGGGGUGAAAUCCCGGGGCUCAACCCCGGAACUGCCUUCGAAACUGAUAGCCUUGAGGUAUGGAGAGGGAAGUGGAAUUCCUGGUGUAGCGGUGAAAUGCGUAGAUAUCAGGAGGAACACCCGUGGCGAAGGCGGCUUCCUGGCCAUAUCCUGACGCUGAGGUGCGAAAGCUAGGGGAGCGAACGGGAUUAGAUACCCCGGUAGUCCUAGCCGUAAACGAUGGAUACUAGGUGUUAGAGGUAUCGACCCCUCUAGUGCCGUAGCUAACGCAUUAAGUAUCCCGCCUGGGGAGUACGG
rnacentral:rRNA from 1 species